rnacentral:rRNA from 1 species
CCUACGGGUGGCAGCAGUGGGGAAUAUUGGGCAAUGGGCGCAAGCCUGACCCAGCAACGCCGCGUGAAGGAAGAAGGCUUUCGGGUUGUAAACUUCUUUUGUCCGGGAAGAGUAGAAGACGGUACCUGACGAAUAAGCCACGGCUAACUACGUGCCAGCAGCCGCGGUAAUACGUAGGGGGCAAGCGUGGUCCGGAUUUACUGGGUGUAAAGGGCGUGUAGGCGGGUUGACAAGUCAGAUGUGAAAUCCUGCGGCUUAACCGCAGAACUGCAUUUGAAACUGUUGAUCUUGAGUACUGGAGAGGCAGAUGGAAUUCCUAGUGUAGCGGUGAAAUGCGUAGAUAUUAGGAGGAACACCAGUGGCGAAGGCGGUCUGCUGGACAGCAACUGACGGUGAGGCGCGAAAGCGUGGGGAGCAAACAGGAUUAGAUAACCGUGUAGUC